GGAAACCCAAACCAAGGAGAACUCAGGAGAAUUGGCGCUCUUCGGUCCUGGAGGUUCCGCAGCUAACAUCCCGGCUUGACCAACUAUCGAGGCCGCAAAUUAAUAGGGCACCUCCUGGGAGGAAAACGCCCAUCCUGACUUCUCAACUGUGACAGUUUGCUCUGUCGCCCAGGAUGGAGUGCAGUGCAGUGGCGCGAUCCUGCAACCUCCGCCUCUCGAGUUCAAGCGAUUCUCCUGCCUCAGCCUCCCGAGUAGCUGGGAUUACAGACGCGCGCCACCCCACCCAGAUGAUCUUUUUAAAUGCAAAAUGCCAUCGACGCAGAAAAUCAAAGAAUCAGCUUAAGUUCCAGAAAAAAGAAAAACCAACCAAAUGAACAAUAAGACAACAACAACAACAACAAAAAAGGCCUUUUGGGAUUUUGGAUGAUAUUGCAUCAAAUCCAUACAUUAACCUGAGAGACGAGCGACUUCUUCAACAUUGAGCCUUCCAAUCAUGAUUUUCAAUUCAUUUAGGUCUUCUGUAAUGUUUCUUAAUAUAAUUGUAUUUGUUGCUAUGCAGAAGUUUCACUGAUCUUUUAUUAUAUCUCUAUAUAUAUUUGAUAUUUCUGACACUAUUGUAAAUAGUAUCUUUUUAAUAUUUCAUUUUCCUUUUUUGUUGCUUAAAUAUAUAUAAAAUAAGCUAAUUUUCCAAACUAAUUUUUAUAUCCAGCAACCCUGCUAAAAUUUCUUAUCCAAUAAAAAUAUAAAUGUA
rnacentral:lncRNA from 1 species